GCGUUUUCGUAAUUACUGGCGCGACUUCUUAUGGAAACAUAAGAAUGCACAACUUGGCUUAUAUGCGGGAAGUCUAUGGAGGGCUGCGCUCCGACAAUAUCAGAGUUCCCUAUAGAUAAUCCGCAGGGAAGUCGGUAGUGGUAAAACUACUUGACCCCUCAGAGACUGAGCUCGUAAGAGCGAGAUAGAGACUUUUCUCUAUAACACGCCAAGCACCCUACGGGGUGAUGAUAUAGUCCGAUCCUUACAGCGAUGUAAGU
rfam:Parcubacteria bacterium GW2011_GWA1_47_11 TX77_C0005, whole genome shotgun sequence.